ACCGAAAUAGCUCAGUUGGGAGAGUGUUAGACUACAGGGCGAAAUGUCCCUGGUUCGAUCCCGCAUUCCGGCA
rnacentral:tRNA from 1 species